UAAGACAGAGGGUGCAAACGUUGUUCGGAAUCACUGGGCAUAAAGCGCACGUAGGCGGUCCGUUAAGUCAGAUGUGAAAGCCCCCGGCUCAACCGGGGAACGGCAUCUGAUACUGGCGGGCUCGAGGAUGGCAGGGGUGAGCGGAACUCCAGGUGGAGCGGUGAAAUGCGUAGAUAUCUGGAGGAACACCGGUGGCGAAAGCGGCUCACUGGACCAUAUCUGACGCUGAGGUGCGAAAGCUAGGGUAGCAAACGGGAUUAGAUACCCCGGUAGUCCUAGCCGUAAACGAUGGGCACUAGGCAGGGGAGAUGCCUAUGGUCUUCUCUGCCGUAGCUAAUGUGUUAAGUGCCCCGCCUGGGGAGUACGCUCGCAAGGGUA
rnacentral:rRNA from 1 species